GGCUUUCAGUUUAUAGAUACCGUUCUGUGAAGUAACAUCGUGACGUGUAAAUUGAAUUUCAAACUUUUUUGUGCUUCUUGAACAAUAAGUGAUACAAUCAGUGAAUAGUUUUAAACCAUCACAACCAUAUCACAUCGUAGAAUACGAUAAAACAUGGUUUAACUACGUUUUUGGCAGUUACAUCUUUUUUAAGGGGGCGAGAGCGUGGCAACGCAUCGACGUGGCGGCGUGUAAAAGCAGUGGCGAGGGAAGCAUGCGAAGGAAAGAGGGCGGAGGAAGAUUUGUGGUCGCGGGGGAAAGGAAGGGCUCGCAAGGAAUCGCGAAUUUGGAGGAAGGAAGGAGGUCGUGGAAAAUUGUGGAUGCAGUUGGUCGAAGCGUGUGAGGGGCGGCCACGAUGGAAAACGGGGUGGUGAACGGUGGACAAGUGGAUCCUGCUUCUCAAGUGUCGUUCUUAAGAAGUUAAUCGCAGCCAUGUCGAACGAGACAAAUGCCACGGACGAUUUUCUCGAUUACGAUAUCAACGACUCGUUGAGCCACUUCGAUUGGGCGGAAUUGGGGCCUGUCCUCGUCGUCUACUCCCUCACGUUCUUCCUCGGAUUAAUCGGAAACGUCGUCAUCAUUGGUUCAACGCUGUGCCCCAGACUGAGACCUUUACCAGCGACACCGACCAACGUCUUUCUAGGCGGUUUGGCAACCGCCGAUCUUUUGCUUAUACUCUUUUGCAUUCCCGUGAAGGUGGCGAAGCUGUUCUCAUACACGUGGACUAUGGGCCUGUUUCUAUGCAAGUCGGUGCACUAUAUGCAGAGCGUCUCGGCUAUUUGCUCGGUCGUCACGUUGACCGCAAUGUCGAUCGAAAGAUAUUACGCCAUAGUUCACCCUAUGCGGGCGCAGUACACGUGCACGAUAAGCCAGGCUCGCAAAAUAGUAAUUACAACUUGGGUGGCGUCCUUCCUUCUUGGUAUACCAAUGAUCUUCACACAGACGCACAAGGAAGUCGGAUUGAGGGUAAUCGCUUACUGGUGCGUUCGUGAUUUCGAAGGUGGACUUUUAUGGCGCGCCCACGAGGUUUAUAUGCUGGUGUUGGUCCUGGUGUUACCCCUAGCCGUGAUGGCGUAUUGUUAUACGGCCAUUUGCUGGGAGAUUUGGCGAGUCAUGAAGCGCCGAUACCACAUGACAUCACGCCGCGUACUGAAUCCAAGCAACGUCGACGCAGAAUCCAUACCCAUGACACAGAGGAAUAGCGUGCGAAACAAUAAUCGUCGUUCUCAACGAGAGGACAGUCAAACGGAAGAAGAAUCUCGUACGAUAAGACAGGUGGUGAAGAUGUUGGUGGCCGUGGUGGUGUUGUUCGUCAUUUGCUGGGGUCCAAUUCUCGUGGAUAACAUGCUAACAGCUUAUGGAUACCUGCCACGCGUAAAAGUUGGCACGUACAAGCAUCUUAACACCGCUUUUCAGCUGAUGGCUUAUUUUAACAGUUGCAUAAAUCCAAUCGUUUACGGAUUUAUGUCGAAACACUUCAGGGAGAGUUUUUUGGCCGCUGCCUGCGGCAGCUGGUGGAUCUGUUGCCCCCGAAGAGGGUACAGGGCGCCGGUGAGGAGGCAUCCGAGCCUAAGCCAGACAAGGACGACCAGUAUAAGAUUGUUAUGGAAUAAUUUGUUUGCUUCCACGAGGUGGUAGCCAAGCAAAAGUAUUAUCCUGGUCUCCUGUUCCGCGAAUGGUCUGUCAAAUUGCUUGAUCGACGUCAUGAAAAUAUUGUUCCAGAGAGAAACCUGGGAAUUAAUCACCUUUCUCGAUGGUGGACGCGAAACUCCUUCCAAGAGUCCAAGUGUCGAAACUCGAGCGACAACCAUCUCGUAGCACACCCGUGAAUUAAACGGUACGGCGACGUAGGUCCACCCAGCAUCCGAAAUAUCAUAUAAAGAGGUAGGACGAAAGAGAAGCGCAAUUUCUUGACACAAUCUGUCGAACAAUCGGCGAGAUAUUUUCGCCGAGUUUAUGUGCUUUUUUUACUUUGAUUAUUGGACGCUUGGCUAAGGAUCGAAUCAACGGGGUUUAAAAGGGGGUUGGGAAAGACGGAGGAGUGGGAGGGACGUCGGUUUUCAUAGAGGAACUUUAAUAAUGGGAAUCUUCUUCCAAGCUAAUCGGGUGGAAAAUGGUUCAAGGUUCGAGUUUUGAAGAUAAAGUUUUACAGCUUUCAUAUUUCCUUCACAUCGGGAAAAUUUCAUCUCCAAUUUCGUUUACGUUAUUACGAUCCAGUUACGAGUAUGUAUCAUUUUCAAGAUUGAUAUUUGUUAUUUAUACGUAUAGAUUUUUAUCUUAUUUUUGAGAAUUUCGUGGAUAGAAGUUGAAGAUGAAGUUUUUGACGAUUUAAAGAGGGGGAAAAGCUGUGAAAAAUUUAUGGUUUCGUUAUAUUUGUUUCGAUCGUGUAUAAAACCGACGUCGUUCCGACUUUUCGAGCAAUCUUGACUCGCCAACUAAAUUAUUCGACAUAUUUUAACCUGUUUUUUUUCAAAUUUCACGCAUUUUCCUUAUAUUUUCCUUACGAUAUUAACAAUACGAUUCUAAUUAAAUAAGCAUUUAACCUAUUAAUUAAAUUAACAACGUUUUGUUUAACAAUUGAAGAAAUCGUUGUCCAUUAAUUCCAAGAUUCCAAGAAUGAAAUCUGGCUCGAAUGUUUAUGAUAAAUCCAUAAUCUUCCAAUUAAUUUUUUUCAUAUCUCUUAAAGAUUGAGCUCCAGAAGAAGAACUAAAUUUGGGCUAAAUUUCAUUUAAAAAAAAAAAAAAAAAGAGCAGCUCGAGAUUUGGCUUAACUAAUUUCACAGACAACGAAUCAUCCCCCUCUUCUAUAAUUCUUGCCCCUUUUUCACCCCGUUUGCUUUCAGAUGGACUUGAUUAUUUCGUCAUGCCCGGCCCACGUCGAGGCACUUGUUUCACAGGUAAAAAACUGGUCGGCCAUUGCACUAUGCCAGAAGAGGCUAGAAAGAGGAAGAAACCGUUCCUAAUCGAGAAAGACGAUGCUACUUCGAGUUUAUCGUUUGUCGAAUAAUCGAUUUCAAUUUCGAAACGAUUCUUCACCAUUUUUUCGCCGAAUUUUCGUAUUCCCCAAGCUGAGCUCAAAAUGCUCGUAUUUGAAGGUAUAUAGAUAGCAUUUUCUUUUUUAUGAAUUAUGAAGAAUUGGAAUACGGAUCUGGAAUAUUGCGAGGCAGAGAACGAAACUUUGAAAAUCUAAUAUUUAAAAAUUAUUUACCAAAUCUUUUUUAAUCGUCGAUAUUUUUAAGCGAUGAUGAGAAACAUUAUGGAAGCUUGAAAUAGGGCAAACGCUUUCUCAAAUCUCUGAUUAAUUGUAAAGCAAUGUAAUCUAUGUGUCUAUUUAUUUGUACAUACACAAAUGUAUAUAAUAAUUUUCAUAAAACUGCAUGCAAAUACCAAGUAAAUAAAAGAAGAACGAAUAAGUGAAAAAAUAGAUAGAAACGCGUUGUACAAAGGCAAGAGACGAAAUGUCGAAUCACGCAAUUGUGAGUUUACAUCGACAUUUAUCAUAUAUGUAUAUAUAUAUAUACUCGCUCAAGUAAUUAGGUAUCAGUCGGAAAUCUUGGCCGAUUUUCGAACAAUGGGAAAAAGAAUCGCUCUAAUCAAUCGUGAAGCAACGUAAGCUCUUUACACACUUAUCAAUUCACGGUUGUAUCCCCAAAAAUUGUAUUAUAAUUUUUAUCGCGCUUUUAAGGCGAAUUCUCAAAUUUAUACCAUAUAAUAUAUAUAUAUAUAUUUAUAUACUAAGAUCGAGCAUAAAUAAUAUUUUUUUUAAAAAGGAGAAACUUUUGAAAUUAUGCUUCGGUGUGUUAGAACGAAGAGAAUCUUAAAAUUUAAUCUAAGAAAUAAUCUAAGAAAAAUCUAAGAAAUUUUCUCUCUCUCUUGUCGAUAUUAAGAAAUGAAAAAGAGACUUUGUUUUGGCAUUUUACAAAGGUAUAUUCGUGUUAAUAAAUCCUCUUCCAUUGAAGUUUUCCAUUGAAUGAAAAUUGAAUUGAAUUGAAUUAAUUAAAGAGAGGAAACAAUAAUGGGACGAGCUUAAUGACUUAUCGACACGGCUUCCAUUAGAAUUAAUUAUGGAUUUGUUCGAAUUUCUACGAUCAGGAUGUGUAAUGAUAAUGGAAGGUUGUGCGUGUGUAUGUAUUGUACGUAUGUAAAUAUAAGCGGAAGUUUUGUCUGGCGAAUUCGUUUCGCGACACCGUAACACUUUACACUUUCUCCUUUCCUUCCCUUUCCUCCCCCAAUUUCCAUGAAUUAAUUCUGUAAAAUUAUGCGCCGGCCUGACGUAUGAUAAUUCACGUGUAGGACAUGUAUAUAUUUAAAUGGUGUCAUCCUCGUAUUUAAUUUUACGAAAGCAUUUCCACGGAAUUGUAACGAUUUUUUACGCGUGCGUUUCCAUGUAAAUAUUGGAAUAAAUUGAAAAAUAUGUUUAA